UGUUCUACUCUUUGUCUGAUCUUGUUUGCAUUGAGUCUCAUUUGGAUAUGCAUUUACCUCAGUUAUUUCUCCUGGAUUAUUAAAGUGACUUCCUGAGCUACUCUGAAUCAUGAGUGUUCAUAAUAUUGUGACAAUGACUUAAUUUCCUCCAAGAUCAAGCAACUCCAAGAACAUGAUUUGGAGAAAUGUAGCAUUACAUCACUUGCUCACCAAUGGAUCCUCUGCAGGGAAUGAGUGGCAUCAGAAUGAGAGUCCAAACAGGAGCUUCAAAGAAGACGGAGAAAUCCAGAGUCUUGUGCCCUGCGUUUAUCGGUAUCCUUAUGUUCAUUGGGUAAAAAAGAAAAACUCAAUAAACAAAGUAAAAAAUAUCAAAGGUUUCUAUAGAUAUCACGACAUAUCGAUAUCGUGAAUUCUUAUGGCCACAAUAACCGUGAUAUGAAAAAUCUAAUAUUGUGACAGCCCUAGUAAACAGGAAUAAAUUACAUUUAAAAAUAUAUUCA
ensembl:lncRNA